CUAUGCGCCUUGCCAGCCCGCUCAGGUGUGCCAGCAGCCGCGGUAAUACGUAGGUGGCAAGCGUUAUCCGGAUUUAUUGGGUGUAAAGGGCGUGUAGCGGGAAUGCAAGUCAGAUGUGAAAACUAUGGGCUCAACCCAUAGCCUGCAUUUGAAACUGUAUUUCUUGAGUGCUGGAGAGGCAAUCGGAAUUCCGUGUGUAGCGGUGAAAUGCGUAGAUAUACGGAGGAACACCAGUGGCGAAGGCGGAUUGCUGGACAGUAACUGACGCUGAGGCGCGAAAGCGUGGGGAGCAAACAGG
rnacentral:rRNA from 1 species